rnacentral:rRNA from 1 species
AUGGAUCGGGGAAGGGAUCGUCCCCAUCGCCCCAUCGUUGCCACUAGGUCGCCCGCUCGCCGGCAUCGCCAGGCCUCCUCCUCGCUGGUCUGCUUCCUCUCCGCUGCUUCGUCUCCGCCCUUCGCCUCGAAAAACGCUGCCCCGAACCCUACGAACCGUCACACCGAGACCGACGCCGCUGCUACCCAGUACGACUACGGUGUUGAGGACCCCUCUCUCUUGCUAGAGCAACCAGACGAUGGAGCCCAGGAGCCAAACGCCACUGUCAAUGAUGACUACUACUACUACUCGGGAGGUGCCUACUACUACGUGCAGCCCGCUAACGACGACCAGGAGUAG